rnacentral:lncRNA from 1 species
UUCCAUGACCUGUGUUCCCACUUCUCCUUGAUAAGGCCAAUGUUUUGGCCCUACUGGUGAAAAUAUGUAGACCUAACAUCUAUCUCCCUGCUCCAGUUUCAAGAGAAAAGACCUUAUUCAGAGAAAUAUUUAGAAGACUCUUGUGGAAUUCUUGCUGUGAGUGGUUUUUCCUUCCCUGCCAUUGGUGCGACUGUUUCCCCCUUCCGUCAAAUUGCUGUCUAGAUGUUUCUCUCUGACCCCAAUUUUCUCGGAGUUUGGGAUUAUCAAUCUAAAAUCAGAGGCAGGGAGGAACUUGGAUUGUCCUUCAGUAAAAUUCCACUUUGAUGCGCAAAGCGAACUUGAAUUUCUGCUUGGCCUACCACAGGCCUGCAACAUGCACUUUCUCCUCGAGGUGAGAAGGUCUUUUUCUCUCCACUCUGAAACACCGCUGCCUGCACCUUUUGCUGAGUUUAGAGUAGCAUCAUACUUUCUGCCACGAAUGCCACAAAUACUGCCUUUUCAACUUGGUUUUGUAAAAUGUAAUGGUACUAAAUCCGCCAAAGGGAUAAAGCACCCUUACUUUGGAUUUGCCAGUCCCAUGGGUACAUAACUGACCUACUACUCUCCCACCUCCCAACCUUGAAACUCCAGCCCCCUGAACGGCCUCACCACUCCAACCCCCACUGCAAUUUCCCACUCCCCACCUCCAUGCAUUGCCCAUUCACCAAGCCAGCCACAUCUCCCUUUAAGUUGAAAACUCACCCGAAAGCCCACUACCUCUUCCAUGCAGCCUCCCCUGAUUAAGUGAGGAUGAAGAAACCUCCAAAGCAUGGCCGACAAACUCCCAAUAAACGAGAACACACACCCCCCCAAAACAAACACAGAAACUCACAAAAGAAGAAAAUGACACAUUCUCUACUUUUGAUUUGUGAAACUCCUAUGGGGCUAAGGAGAUCAAUUUUAUACCAAUAAAUCAUUUCAGAAAAUGAAGUCAUUUUAAUAUUCUUGGGGUUACUCAGCAAAACACUUUGCUUGGACGUCUCUUUUGUACUUUCCUUAAAUUCUUCUUCCUUUUCUUCUCGGCUUUUUGAACGUAUGACUGAAGGGAACUGCCACUCACUGACACGGACAACAGUAAAGGAACUUGGUCUUCACUAUGCCUCAUAGUGGUGGGUCACACUGCCCAGGAGGAACCCGCAAUGAGACCGGCAAAUGCCUUAACCAUCUCAUUGUCUCAUCAGGAAGAAGCUUAAAUGACUCUUCUUGCUCACAUACUUCCUGGGCAAACAUGUCUGCUCUGUUGGGAUAAAGGACGCUCUAGACCAGGCUCUGCUGAAAGAUCCAGGGCAAAGGUUCCUGACAAGACUAUGUCCAGCCUCAAAUAAGGCCACAGAAGAGCCCAGGCUCGCUGACGAGCACCGGCUCCGAGGCAGUCACAUCAGGAGACAGAAACAGACAUGUUGGUGCUGCCCUCUCAGGUCAGUGCAAAUGCCACUUGAGGAGGGCUGAGAGCUUUGCAGCAUAAAAUGACCAGAACAAGGAGAAACACAGAUGCAAUGGCAAUAGCUGGCAAUUCGCACAUGGCGUCAAACACCACUGCCACAGAAGCUUUUUAGCUACAAGCCACGCUAUGCAACCUUUAAGCAAAACAUUAUUGAUUUUGUGGUUGUAAAAACAUACCUUCAACUGCAGAACUCAGUUUUAUGACACCUUGAAUAAAAACAAAAAGUGGCAGUUAUAUAAUGGACCCAAAUCGCCUUUUCCAGGCUUCUCAUAACACACGCAUGCUUCAGAUUUGGAUUUUUCUUUUUCUGCUGGCAUUGCAAGAACGUAACUAAACAAAUAUCAACUUCAAAAAUAAAAUAAUUUUUAGUCUUAA